GAUAAACGCUGGCGGCGUGCCUAAUACAUGCAAGUCGAGCGGUAAGGCUCCUUCGGGAGUACACGAGCGGCGGACGGGUGAGUAAUACGUAGGAACGUACCCCAAAGUGAGGAAUAGCCAGCCGAAGGGUUGGCUAAUACCGCAUAUGCUCUACGGAGUAAAGCAGCAAUGCGCUUUGGGAACGGCCUGCGUCCGAUUAGCUAGUUGGUAAGGUAAAGGCUUACCAAGGCGACGAUCGGUAGCUGUUCUGAGAGGAUGAUCAGCCACACUGGAACUGAGACACGGUCCAGACUCCUACGGGAGGCAGCAGUAGGGAAUUUUCCACAAUGGGCGAAAGCCUGAUGGAGCAACGCCGCGUGCAGGAUGAAGGCCUUAGGGUUGUAAACUGCUUUUAUCUGUGACGAUUAUGACAGUAGCAGUUGAAUAAGGAUCGGCUAACUCCGUGCCAGCAGCCGCCGUAA
rnacentral:rRNA from 1 species